GGGUGGGGGGAAAGGCGUGAGCUAAAUCAUAGGAAGCAAAACCAUGGCAGACUAUCAAGUUAUUGGUGACUUAAGCCAAAAGAGGGAAAUUGAAGAACAAGAUGAAAGAGACAGAUAGGAGAUGGUGAGGAAAAUAAAACUUCAAGUCAGGAAGAGAGGAAGUCUAAGAAUGUUUUUAAAAUAACAGCUGGAAAUUUUAGCAUACUCAAAGGUUAAAGUGCCAAAAAGUAAAGAGAAUGUGGAAAGAAACAAGUACUUGGCUCAUAAUGGACUCUUAAGAAACACUUGAUUCUUUCCAUGAUGUGAUGUAAAGGGAUAAUCAGAAUUACCAGGAUAAUUGAAAUAUAAGAAAAUAAGACCCCUGGCAAAACACUAAAUAAAAUCCAGUUUUUUUCUCCAUAAAAGACACUUGUUUUGUAGGUCAUGUCUUUUGGGGACCAUCUACUCUGCCUAUUUGGAAAGAUAGCCCUUGGUUUGGAGCACUUUCGUCAGCAUUCAGGCCUGAUCCGGGACUAACAGACAUGCUAUGUAUUGGGCUUUGGUUGAUGUCUUCAGACCACUGGUAGUGUGGUUUCCAUGAUGUCAAUGCACCGGACUGCUGUAGCAAUGGCUGCAGAGGCAGCAAGCGGGACUUUCACACCUCUUAUUUCCUGCCCUACUCCAAGUCAGAGAACAAAUGUACCUCAGGUAUCAAGAACCAAAAAGGAUACAGAAGAUGUGGCCUAAUUCUUCUAUUAAUUCUGAUGUGGGUUCAUUUUGACUCACUGAUCCCAAACAUGAUAAUAACUUAAAAGUGCCUUCCCCUCAAAUAUAAAUCCAUUGACUUGAGAGCUCUGCUACUUCUGAAUCCCCAUACCAGUCUCCUUGCACAUGGUCUAUUCUGCUUCUAUUACUGUCUUAAAUUACAUGCAGCUCUAAAGGUGUCCUACUCUUCCCUUUGAACUUAAGGGAGAUUUUGCAUUCCUUUCACGAUGAGAAUGUCACGUUUUAGAAAACAAUUGCCUAUGAAAUAUUUAUUGGUUUUCCUCACAAAUUCCAAAGUUUUUCUGAAAGUUUUUUAAAAAAAGAGCUAUGCUAAAUUGGGAUAAGAUGGUGGUUCCACAAAUUAUAUAAUUUAAAACAACAGAAAAGGAAGGUAACUUAAGGACCAAACAAUUAAAAAUUUCUUUUAAAUUUAAAAUUUUUUGAAAAUCCACAGUUACUGACUCUGACAGGAAUAAAUAUCUACCUCAAGUUCCUAAUAUAUGA